UCAGAGUCGAGUGACACCUAGCACGAGGAGGGUUCGUUGCGGGGACAACAGGGUGGCGAGUUCGGUACGACGAUAUUUCCCCCGCGUAUCGGUGGUGAUGUUAUCGAUGUUUUUCCCUCGUGACGUUGGUGUUUAAACGUAACGAGUACUGACCACGCGCGACGUUGUCGGGCUCUCUCAUUCAAACCGCGAGCUUACGAUUUAGUGCUAUUUCUUCGUUCCUCGUUCUAAGACACGAGAUUCGUUCCAUCGCUCGGUGCACCGCGAAUCAACUCGACGUUUUCGUAGACCAGUCAGUUCAAGCGUGAUCGAGGACACGUGGACUUGGAGCGGAUCGCUCUUAGCUCACGUGGUUGUCGGCUGCGACGUACCGGCGGCGCUCGUGGUCGUACGACUGCGAUUCUCGCGUAUAUUCCGCGCGUAGUUUAACUCGUUGUGAGUGAUUACACGAAUAGGAGAAUUUUUUUCCUCCUUGAGCAGUACUUGAUAUUCAUGGUGCCUCUGGCACGAUCAACGUUAAAUCUGAACGUGAACGUGAACUGUACUCGGUGAGUGUUUGCUUGUGAGGACAAGCGUUUCGUUUGUGCGCGACUACAACGCGUUCCCCAUUCAAUCGUUGACGAACGAAGCGUACAUGUCGCGAAUAGAAGGAGAGGGAUGACGACGAACGACCAUCGCGAUUCCGUUGAAGGGGACAACGUGGACUCGUGAAGAACGGCGAACGCGAUUGUGUGACUACAAGACGAGAGACACGGCGGAUCCAUUCGUGGCUUGCGACUCUUCGUGGGACUUCCGAGAUCCGCAAGCACGCGGAAUCAACCAGGCAGCGUGGAGCGCUCGGCGAUUGUGUGGCCGCGCGCCGCGGACCUUUAUCUCUAUCAACCAGGCUGUGCGUUCCUCACCUACUACAGCCGUGACAGCGCAAUCAGCGCCCAGAACGCUCUGCAUGAGAAGCGGACUUUACCAGGGGGUGUGACGGGCGACCGGCUGGCCGGGGGCGCCGCACACCUCCUCCACCUCUUCUUCUUCUUGCCACGACCACAACACACAAUGUAACAACAACUACUACUACUACUACUACUACUACUACUACUACUACUAGUGUCGUCCGCGCGAACCACGUUCUCAAUGUACUCGAUGU